rnacentral:rRNA from 1 species
GGGCCCGCACAAGCAGUGGAGUAUGUGGUUUAAUUCGAAGCAACGCGAAGAACCUUACCAGGGCUUGACAUCCCUUGAACGCUGUAGAGAUACAGUUUCCCUUCGGGGCAAGGAGACAGGUGGUGCAUGGUUGUCGUCAGCUCGUGUCGUGAGAUGUUGGGUUAAGUCCCGCAACGAGCGCAACCCCUGUUGUUAGUUGCCAGCAUUAAGUUGGGCACUCUAGCAAGACUGCCGGUGACAAAUCGGAGGAAGGUGGGGACGACGUCAAAUCAUCAUGCCCCUUAUGUCCUGGGCUACACACGUACUACAAUGGCUAUUACAGCAGGAAGCGAAGGAGUAAUCCGGAGCAAAACCUCAAAAAUAGUCCCAGUUCAGAUUGUGGGCUGAAACUCGCCCACAUGAAGUCGGAAUUGCUAGUAAUGGCAGGUCAGCAUACUGCCGUGAAUACGUUCCCGGGCCUU